UUUUUUUUCUUCAUUUUUUUCUCUCUUUUCUUCCCCGCGACUGCUUUCUCUCACCUUUGCCGUGAACCAUGGCCAUCUCAUCGCUUCCUCUCUGGUUGCACGUAAAUCCUUCCUCUGCCACAUACAUGAACUUCUUCUCCGACAAGUCCACUACACGCGGAGCCUUUCGGUUCAGUUCACCACACUCUCUUCUCUUUCUUAUUCUCUUUUUUCUUCUUCUUCUUUCUUCAUUUCUUCUUCUUUUUCUUCAAUUUUCCUUUCUUCUUCUUCUUUUGCUUCUUCUUUUUGUUUCCCUUUUUUCUUCUUCUUCUUUCUCUUUCUACCAAACCACAUCUCUUCUGUCUUUCUCUCACUUUUUCUCCUUUUUUUCUCUCUUUAACCAAUAACGAUGACUCUCCUCUUUAUUUCUCUUUUGGUUACGAUGUUGUGUAAUACCACGCAACCCAUCUCUCUCGGUUGUCGGUGGCGCUCGACCCUCUCUCUCCUCUCUCAGUCGCGUCUUUCUCUCCUCACUCUUUCUUUUAUUUUUUUUUUUCUUUUCUUUCUUUCUUUUUCUGCUAUUUAAUUACAUAUAUACAUACACAUAUAUAUAUAUAUUUAUCGGUUGGGUCCUAUUCUCCUGCUCUUUGUAUCCUUUUUUUUAUUUCUUUUUUUUAUUUAAUUUUAUAUAUGCACACAUAUAUAUACAUGCCAUAUGUCUUCUUUUUCUGCUUUUAGAGUACACACUCUGGGUUCUUCUUUUCUUUGUUUCUUUUUUUUUAUUUUUCUACUAUUUAAUUAUAUAUAUACAUAUACACAUAUAUAUAUAUAUACACCUUUUUUUUUCUUUUGUUCAAUUAUAUAUAUGUAUGCUGCCUGGGUAUUAUUAUCUCCCCCCUUAAAACAAUUUGGUCCUCCAAAUUAAACGUCAAGGGAUUGGAAUAACUCACCUCCCUAGUGCCAUGUUAAUAGUUCUAUUACCAGAACUCAUUCUUUACUGAUUUUGUUUAUGGGUGUGUUUCUUGGUUUCAAAGAUUAGGUUUAAUGGUGUUUUAUUCAAGUUUUCUUGAAAACAGUUAAUAUAGUUAGGGAAGUAUUAUUUCAUCUAAGGCCAUAUCAAUCCUUAAGUUUUAGGUCUCUAAUUUAAUUAAUUGAUUUUUUAACUUCUAAUAAUUAAAGCAUGAUUGGUUGAAAUGGGCUUAGAGUGUUACAGAAUCAAUGAUUAUUUUUGGAGGUGAUUAGGAAUUCUUUUAGUAGUAGAUUCAAUCAUUAGUUUCAUUGUAAGCAUUACUUCUAAUUCUCAUGAGUACACUUCAAAUUUCCAAGAAUUCUAUGGCUACUCUUAAGUAUAAUCUUAAGAUACGAGUCAUUAUUUUGUCACUCAAUCAAUUUACUCUUUUUGGUUUGAAGAGAGAAAUCAUCUAGGUGUGGUGAUUGUGGUUUAUCACGCUUCUACUGCACUACUUUGAUGAGAAACACUUUAGAUUUUUUUGAAUAGUUGGAUGUGAGGAUAGCUCUUAUGGCUAUACCCUCACCUGCAAAAUUUUUACUAGAACUCUUGGAAAUGAGGAUUCUAGGUAGGCAUUAUUUGAUUUUGUUCGUAAAAUGGCAGUUUAUUGGAGCAUAUAUAUAUAUAAUUGAACAAAAGAAAAAAAUGAAGAGAAAGGCCAUAUUGGUACUAGCUGGCACCAAAAGACCCAACUAG
rnacentral:lncRNA from 1 species